AGCUUUUUGUCUGAAGGCUCCAUAUCUGAGCCAGCAUCUGUUUCCCCCUGAAGGACAACACUGCUGACUGAGAAAAUGGACAAUAUGUACAGAGUCAGGAAAAUGCACUGACACAAAGGAGCCCCAAACCUGGUGAUUAUUUAAAUGAGCAGUGGGAGCAGUGGCUUGAUAUCCCUGUAAGAAAUAUUCUGCCAAGUGCACAACCCAUAGAUCUUGAGAGAGGCACAUUUUGACUGGCUUUACAGCUUCACAUAUCCACUUCUGCAGCAAUCAGAAAUAAAACCACAUCAGGAGACUUA